AUACGGAGGAUCCGAGCGUUAUCCGGAUUUAUUGGGUUUAAAGGGUGCGUAGGCGGCCUUUUAAGUCAGCGGUGAAAGUCUGUGGCUCAACCAUAGAAUUGCCGUUGAAACUGGGAGGCUUGAGUAUGUUUGAGGCAGGCGGAAUGCGUGGUGUAGCGGUGAAAUGCUUAGAUAUCACGCAGAACCCCGAUUGCGAAGGCGCCCUGACAAGCCAUGACUGACGCUGAUGCACGAAAGCGUGGGGAUCAAACAGGAUUAGAUACCCUGGUAGUCCACGCAGUAAACGAUGAUCACUAGCUGUUUGCGAUACAGUGUAAGCGGCACAGCGAAAGCGUUAAGUGAUCCACCUGGGGAGUACGCCGGCAACGGUGAAACUCAAAGGAAUUGACGGGG
rnacentral:rRNA from 1 species